rnacentral:rRNA from 1 species
UACAGAGGGUGCAAGCGUUGCUCGGAAUCAUUGGGCGUAAAGCGCGUGUAGGCGGCCCGGUAAGUCCGCUGUGAAAGUCGGGGGCUCAACCCUCGAAUGCCGGUGGAUACUGUCGGGCUAGAGUGCGGGAGAGGCGAGUGGAAUUCCUGGUGUAGCGGUGAAAUGCGCAGAUAUCAGGAGGAACACCAAUUGCGAAGGCAGCUCGCUGGAACGUAACUGACGCUGAGACGCGAAAGCGUGGGGAGCAAACAGG